rnacentral:rRNA from 1 species
GUUGACCUCGGAUCAGGUAGGAAUACCCGCUGAACUUAAGCAUAUCAAUAAGCGGAGGAAAAGGAACCAACAGGGAUUGCCCCAGUAACGGCGAGUGAAGCGGCAACAGCUCAAAUUUGAAAUCUGGCCCCAGGCCCGAGUUGUAAUUUGCAGAGGAUGCUUUUGGCGCGGUGCCUUCCGAGUUCCCUGGAACGGGACGCCAUAGAGGGUGAGAGCCCCGUACGGUUGGACACCAAGCCUUUGUAAAGCUCCUUCGACGAGUCGAGUAGUUUGGGAAUGCUGCUCUAAAUGGGAGGUACAUUUCUUCUAAAGCUAAAUAUUGGCCAGAGACCGAUAGCGCACAAGUAGAGUGAUCGAAAGAUGAAAAGCACUUUGAGAAGAGGGUUAAACAGCACGUGAAAUUGUUAAAAGGGAAGCGCUUGUGACCAGACUUGCGUCCGGUGAAUCACCCAGCUCUCGCGGCUGGGGCACUUCGCCGGCACAGGCCAGCAUCAGCUUGCCGUCGGGGACAAAAGCUUCAGGAACGUGGCUCCUCUCGGGGAGUGUUAUARCCUGUUGCAUAAUACCCUUCGGCGGGCUGAGGUACGCGCUCCGCAAGGAUGCUGGCGUAAUGGUCAUCAGCGAC